AAUAAUUAACACAUUUCUAAUGCAAUAAAAAAAUUGAAAGAUAGAAGGAAUAUACAUCAAAGUGUAAAAAUCGUAAGAGCUGAGUGAAAAUGUUAUGAUUGACGAAUUAACUAUUACUACCUUGUUUAAAAAAAAAACCUAUUACUACCUACGUCCUACAAUGAGUAAGUCAGUUGACUGCGUCACACAUGUCAAUGUAUAACUUUGAUGAUUAAUAUUUUUAAUUGUAUAAUUGUAAAAAGGGUCAUGAAAUAUGAUAUUUUAAAAAUACUCAUCAAGAUGGAAAUAGGGUCAAGACGAAUCCAAAAACAUUUUAUAUGCUAAUAUUUAUUUUUAUUUAUCAGCAGAAAAAAAUGUUCAAAGCAAGAUAUAUCUAUAACAUUAAUAAAGGGAAAACUUCAAAUUUAGUGUAGCCUAUUUUUCUUCCAAAAAUACCCUUCAUAACAAUUACAUCUAUGCCAUGACAAAAAUACCCUUCGUGUACGGAACUGUGAUUUUUUGGAGGAAAGAUGUUGGCAUCUUCUAUUUGAAUUAUUUGGGUAAUUCUCAAGUUUAAAAAUAGGUAAUUAGGCUAAUUACAUGAUCAAUAUGGAUGAUAAGGUUAAAAUAAUCUUUUCCUUUAUUUUACUUUUACUUUAUAUGCAUUUUUUUUCUUCUUUGAUCAUGCAUUCCAAUAACAAUACAUUUGGUGUGAGAAUAAAAAACCAUCAUCAUUUUAUCUUUUCCUUUCUUUCUGCAGGUUUUCAUCAUUCUUUUAAAUUGUUUCAAGUUUUCAUUUUGAAGACUCUCUUUUUAAAAAUUAAUUUCAUUUGUGCAUAUUAUUUGUGAUUACAGGUGGACCAAAACUCCGUAAUAUGGACACUAAUUUUGUUCAAUUGUGUCAAAUAUACUAUGGUAUUUUGAACACCUAAACUCUAAGGGUACGUUGUCGGAGUAGCAAAUGUCGAGAGUGCAACAAAAGAAAAUUCAAAUAUAUUACGGUAUUUUAGUUAUCAUUACUAAUUUGUUCAAUUGUUUUUUAAUUGAAAUCAAUUGUUUUUUAAUUGAAAUCAAUUGUGUUUGAAUUUGUUGAUUCAUGUCCUCUUGAAGAUAUGUGAAAGGCAACCCUAAAUGUUGAAGGCUACACAUGUACUACUAAGGGGAAUGCAAAUCGGUUGUAAUUAAUGAUUGCCAAUGGUCAAAGUACAUAUACAAUUUUAUUUGAAACUUCAUGUAUCUAUUAUUUAUUUAUUUUUGAAGCAAUAAUGUAUCUAUUAAUUUUAAAAGUUCAACUUUGAUUAUUCUACAAUUUUUCCUAAAAUCUUAAAGGGUCAUGUUAACAUGUGCCCUUAGGUUAUUUUAAAGAGUUUAAUUGUUGUGCACCGUCGGUGUAAUUUUUUUUUACACAUACAUCCAAUGACGCGUUGCCACAUCAUUUAAUGAAUGUGACACAUCAU
rnacentral:lncRNA from 1 species